UCUUCCGACCUGGCAGGCGCGUCGUCGGGCGUCGCCGUUCGCGUUGCGGUAGUAGUGCGUCCACCUCCCGGUCGUUUCGGCCCGCACGGUUCCUCCGAGGGUGCUCUUCGCCGAGUGUCCGAGGCGGCCAGUA
rnacentral:lncRNA from 1 species